UUUAGGGUUUAGAGUUUAGAGUUUAGGGUUUAGGGUUUAGAGUUUACGGGUGGGGUUUAGGGUUUAGGGUUUAGAGUUAAGGGGUGGGAUUUAUGAUUUAGGGUCUAGGGUUUAGGGUUUAGAGUUCUUCAAAAAUAUAUUCUUCAUUAAGUGGCAAAAGACUCUUAUGCCCAUGUUUUUUAUAUAUAUAAUAAAGAGAAAAUGACUAGAAUAACACUAAAAAGUUUUUGUCACAAAUAUAGCUUCUAACAAUAAAAAAGACCAAAAUAGCACUUAAUGUUUUAUCAAAAGAGAUAAAUAUACAAUUAUACCCCAAUGAUAAAUUAAUUUAGACAUUAGUGUUUAGAGUUAAAGAGGUGGAGUUUAGGGUUUAGAGUUUAGAGUUUAGGGUUUAGGGUUUAGAGUUUACGGGUGGGGUUUAGGGUUUAGGGUUUAGAGUUAAGGGGUGGGAUUUAUGAUUUAGGGUCUAGGGUUUAGGGUUUAGAGUUCAGGUUUUAGGGUUUAGAGUUAGGGAGUGGGGUUUUGGGAUAAGAUUUCAAACUUUGAAAAACAAUUUUUUUUUUUAAUUUUUCAAAAGAUAAAAUGCUAUUUUGGUCAUUUUAGUUUUUGAGAGCUAUUUUUGUG
rnacentral:lncRNA from 1 species